rnacentral:rRNA from 1 species
UGGGGAAUAUUGGACAAUGGGGGGAACCCUGAUCCAGCCAUGCCGCGUGUGUGAAGAAGGCCUUAUGGUUGUAAAGCACUUUAAGCGAGGAGGAGGGUACUGGUAUUAAUACUACCAGGUACUGGACGUUACUCGCAGAAUAAGCACCGGCUAACUCUGUGCCAGCAGCCGCGGUAAUACAGAGGGUGCGAGCGUUAAUCGGAUUUACUGGGCGUAAAGCGUGCGUAGGCGGCUAAUUGAGUCGGAUGUGAAAUCCCCGAGCUUAACUUGGGAAUUGCAUUCGAUACUGGUUAGCUAGAGUGUGGGAGAGGAUGGUAGAAUUCCAGGUGUAGCGGUGAAAUGCGUAGAUAUCUGGAGGAAUACCGAUGGCGAAGGCAGCCAUCUGGCCUAACACUGACGCUGAGGUACGAAAGCAUGGGGAGCAAACAGG